rnacentral:tRNA from 10 species
AAGGGAAUAGCCAAGUGGUUACGGCAUCGGCCUUUGACUCCGAGAUCGGUAGGUUCAACUCCUCCUUCCCUUGCCA